rnacentral:rRNA from 1 species
UACGUAGGGGGCAAGCGUUGUCCGGAUUUAUUGGGCGUAAAGAGCGUGUAGGCGGUUAGGUAGGUCCGUUGUGAAAACUCGAGGCUCAACCUCGAGACGCCGAUGGAAACCAUCUGACUAGAGUCCGGAAGAGGAGAGUGGAAUUCCUGGUGUAGCGGUGAAAUGCGCAGAUAUCAGGAAGAACACCCGUGGCGAAAGCGGCUCUCUGGGACGGUACUGACGCUGAGACGCGAAAGCGUGGGGAGCGAACAGG